GCUGGGUAUGGUGGUAUGUGCCUGUAGUCCCAGCUACUUAGGAGGCCGAGGCAGGAGGAUUGCUUAAGCCCAGGAGGCUGAGGCUGCAGUGAGCUGUGAUAGUGCCACUGCACUCUAGCCUGGGCAGCAGAGCAAGACCCUACCUCAA
rnacentral:SRP_RNA from 1 species